CACUGUCAGUCAAACGCGAGGUCGCUUCUUCCAGCUGCAAACCAAGCUUGUUGACGCCCGUGUCAGAAUUCCCAUCCCCCCAUGGCGCUCCUGUCCCUCCUCUCCCACUCCAGAACACGCUCCUCCGUCCUCCGGGAACCUCUCCGGCAGGGGGGCCUGCGCGCCCUGCUCGCCCCGUGGGCUCCCCCGCCCGUGCAUCCGCACGACCGCGCCGCCGGACACGCCUGCACGCCCCCUUCCACCGAGACCUCCCCUCCUGGUCACCACCGCCCUCCUCCUCUCGACCGGACCCGCCUCGGGAGCCGGACGAUCUCCUAUGGCGUUGGAUCGACAAACCAUACCCUGGCUUCUCAUAGAAGAUCCUACUGGACCCUGUGUCCACAACAUCCCUCUCGUGGGCCUCCAGCUGGGAUAGCAACAAAAGAAGCACAGCAUAGUGUGAAUGAUCCGUUUGAAGUUCAACGGCGUACUUUUGGUUCUGCGGCAGAACCCAUCCAGAGGAAUCCCGACUUUUCAGUGCUAAACUCUGAUGACGUUUCUUACUUCAAGAGCAUAUUGGGUGACACUGGAGUCGUUCAAGAUAAAGACAGGGUGGCUGUUGCAAAUGUGGAUUGGAUGGGUAAAUACAAGGGUGCAAGUCAGCUACUGCUUUUACCAAAAAGUACUAAUGAGGUUUCUAAGGUCCUUGCUUACUGCAACUCGAGACGAUUGGCGGUAGUUCCUCAGGGUGGAAAUACAGGCCUCGUUGGUGGCAGUGUUCCAGUUCAUGAUGAGGUGAUUGUCAACCUUGGUGGUAUGGACAAAAUAAUCUCGUUUGACAAUGUAAAUGGUAUUCUUACUUGUGAAGCUGGUUGUGUGUUGGAGAACUUAAGUACCUUUGUGGAAAAUGAAGGGUUUAUUAUGCCUCUUGACUUAGGCGCAAAAGGUAGUUGCCAAAUAGGCGGGAACAUUUCAACUAAUGCUGGCGGCUUACGCUUCAUUCGCUACGGUUCAAUUCAUGGAAAUGUACUUGGUCUUGAAGUUGUCCUAGCCAAUGGAACUGUUCUUGACAUGCUUACUACUUUAAGGAAAGACAACACUGGAUACGAUCUGAAGCACUUAUUUGUUGGAAGUGAAGGCUCACUAGGAAUAGUCACUAAAGUGUCAAUACUUACACCUGCAAAGCUACCUUCAACUAAUGUUGCAUUUCUUUCCUGCAACGACUACAUGAGCUGCCAGAAAUUGCUACUGGCAGCUAGGAGGAGCUUGGGUGAGAUUCUUUCUGCAUUUGAGUUUAUGGAUCGUCAGUGUAUUGAUCUGGCUAUGACGCAUUUGGAAGGAGUUCAUAAUCCUUUACCUGUCUCGCCAUACAAAUUUUAUGUUCUAAUUGAGACCACAGGAAGUGAUGAAUCAUAUGACAAAGCAAAACUUGAAGCUUUUUUAUUGAGUUCAAUGGAAGAUGGCCUUGUAGCUGAUGGAGUUAUAGCACAGGAUAUUAGCCAAGCAUCUAAUUUUUGGAGAAUCCGCGAGGGUAUAUCAGAAGCAUCUGUAAAAGUUGGUGCAGUCUACAAGUAUGACUUGUCCAUACCUGUAGAGAAACUAUAUGAUAUUGUUGAAGAAAUGCGCAGCCGUGUUGGUGAUACGGCAGAGGUAUUGGGUUAUGGUCACCUUGGUGACGGGAAUCUCCAUCUAAACAUCUUAUCAAGCAAGUACAGUGACAAUGUAUGUCUGAUCUGACAUGGAAAUAGAUCAUUUACUUAGGUUUGGCUUCAGUUUCUCAAGAUAGAGGAAGCAUUAGUGCGGAGCACGGGCUGGGGCUAAUGAAAGCUGAGAAGAUUCACUACAGCAAGUCACCAGAAGCAGUGCAGCUAAUGGCUUCCAUCAAGAAGUUAAUGGACCCUAACUCAAUUCUAAACCCAUACAAGGUUCUACCUCAGUCUGCAUUGUCACUGGAGCAGGGUAGCUGAUUGAGCUUGUUGCUUACGCAAAUCAACUUCAGAGAACAGAAGCUGUUGACUUGGAUAGAAGAGAUCUGUCUGUACCCAAUAAAAGUAUAUAAUCAAUAAAAUUCCUGUUGUUGUCAGCGUCUGGAGUAUUAUAAACAAUUAUUCAGAUGGACAUCAAACUAGGAAAAACAUCAAAUAAGCCCCUGUACAACUCAGGUGCUUGCACAUGCACCUCAGAGAAAAAGAAACUUUUUUUGGUGAGAUCAA